UAGUCAUAUGCUUGUCUCAAAGAUUAAGCCAUGCAUGUGUCAGUACAGGCCGCUCUAAGGCUAAACCGCGAAUGGCUCAUUAAAUCAGUUAUCAUCCCUUAGAUCAAUACCAACCUUACUUGGAUAACCCUGGUAAUUCUAGAGCUAAUACGUGACCACGGACACUCCGACUGGAAGGGAGGAGUGCUUUUAUUAGAUGAGAACCAAUCGGGCCUCGGUCCGCCAAACACAAACUGUGACGAAUCUGAAUAACUUUGUGCCGAGAGCACGGUCUCCGCACCGGCUCCGUAUCUUUCGAGUUUCUGCCUUAUCAUGCUGUGGAUUGUAGGCCAUGCGCCUACAGUGGCUGUAACGGGUGACGGAGAAUCAGGGUUCGAUUCCGGAGAGGGAGCCUGAGAAACGGCUACCACAUCCAAGGAAGGCAGCAGGCACGCAAAUUACCCAAUCCCAGCCCGGGGAGGUAGUGACGAAAAAUAACAAUGCGGGACUCUUCCGAGUCUGCGUAAUUGGAAUGAGCACACUUUAAAUCCUUUAGCGACAACCAAUUGGAGGGCAAGUCUGGUGCCAGCAGCCGCGGUAAUUCCAGCUCCAAUAGCGUAUAUUAAAGUUG
rnacentral:rRNA from 1 species